rnacentral:rRNA from 1 species
UCCGUAGGUGAACCUGCGGAAGGAUCAUUAUUGAAAUAAAACUCAGGCAGGGGGGAGUGUGGUUGUAGCUGGCCCCCUAAUAAGGGCAUGUGCACACUGUCUCUUUCUCUUGUUUGUUUUUUCAUUCUUUCCACUUGUGCACUGCUUGUAGGCAGCCUGGCAUUGUUCGGGUUGUCUAUGAUUUUAUUUUACAUACAUGAAUCAUUGUUGUACAGAAUGUGAUAAAAAAAUAAUAAUACAACUUUCAACAACGGAUCUCUUGGCUCUCGCAUCGAUGAAGAACGCAGCGAAAUGCGAUAAGUAAUGUGAAUUGCAGAAUUCAGUGAAUCAUCGAAUCUUUGAACGCAUCUUGCGCUCCUUGGUAUUCCGAGGAGCAUGCCUGUUUGAGUGUCAUUAAAUUCUGUCAAAACAUGCACUUGAGUGUGUUUUGGAUUGUGGGAGUGUCUGCUGGCUUUAUAUGAGUCAGCUCUCCUGAAAGACAUUAGCUUUGGAGGGAUGUGCCAAGUCACUUCUGCCUUUCCAUUGGUGUGAUAGAUGAAUAAACUUAUCUACGCCAGGAAAGCAGGUUGCAGGUGAUGCACUGUGAUCUCUCUGCUCUCUAAUUGACAUUUGUCUGAUAACUUGACCUCAAAUCAGGUAGGACUACCCGCUGAACUUAAGCAUAUCAAUAAGCGGAGGA